rnacentral:rRNA from 1 species
GACGAACGCUGGCGGCGCGCCUAACACAUGCAAGUCGAACGAGCGAGCGAGAGCUUGCUUUCUCAAGCGAGUGGCGCACGGGUGAGUAACGCGUGAGGAACCUGCCUCAAAGAGGGGGACAACAGUUGGAAACGACUGCUAUUACCGCAUAAGCCCACGACCCGCCAUCGGGUAGAGGGAAAAGGAGCAAUCCGCUUUGAGAUGGCCUCGCGUCCGCUUUGCUAGUUGGAGAGGUAACGGCCCACCAAGGCGACGAUCGGUAGCCGGACUGAGAGGCUGAGCGGACACAUUGGGACUGAGACACGGCCCAGACUCCUACGGGAGGCAGCAGUGGGGAAUAGUGCACAAUGGGGUAAACCCUGAUGCAGCGACGCCGCGUGGAGGAAGAAGGUCUGCGGAUUGUAAACUCCUGUUGUUGAGGAAGAUAAUGACGGUACUCAACAAGGAAGUGACGGCUAACUACGUG